GCCAACUUGGCACAUGGAUAAUAGUCACAUGGGUAGACGCAUUUACGUUGUUCACAGGCCUUGUCAUUGGGGCAGUCAUCAUCACUGGUACAUCCGAUGGGAGGUGGCGGCUCUGUGCGAACUGAUAGCAACACAAGAAAAGUAUACUGACAAUGCCAUAUACACGUGCCGAGUCCAUAACACCAAAGGCCAAGCCAACUUGCUGGGAGACUUCUUGAUAUGAUCUGUCUUUGUUCUACACUGCACUGUCAAGCUCAGACUGGCUUGACAAUGAUGCUCACCUACGCAUUUGCCAUCCUCAUUUUUGACUCCUGGCAAGGGGCAGUCACAAAUGCCACCAGCAGUCAGCACAUAGCCCUUCUCAGGGUCACAAAUGCAUCUUCCAUCAUCAGUGAGUAUGAA